rfam:Tlvibacter sp. LPB0005 TLVI_52, whole genome shotgun sequence.
AUAAAAGAGGAAAGAUUUGACUGAUUGCAACCUCUUCCGAUUUGGCACUGUCAAUGAAGAAAUCCUUAUAGUUUCGAGGGUUAAAAAAUGCUAAAGGCAGUAAU